GGCAUGGUGAUGUAGUGGGUAGCAUUGCAGCCUCACAGCUCCAGAGUCACCAGUUCAAUUCUGACCCAUAUCU